CAUUGUUAUCAGUGAUUUAUGUGUAUUGAACAGUGGAAUAAUAUCUUAUUGUGGGAUGUAGAAAAAUUUCUGUUUGGAUUUAAAAUCAAAUAGAUUUGUUGGCAUAAUAUUAAAAUUAACUGAAAAUCCCUUAAAUCUCCCAUUACCCUGCAGUAUAUCAAACAAGUAGUUUUGUAUACACACCCUUGAAUCCAUUCCUGCAACCCUUCCUUAGAUAAUAUUUCUUAAGGGGUCUCAAUUCAUUAUUAUUAUUUUUAUUAUUGUAGGGCUAUAAAGUUGAGUUAUUCAGACUGCUAAGUUUAUAAAUCACUUGCAGUUUCUUUAUUCAUCUAUCCAUUCAUUUCCCCCCACUUUGUCUCCAGUCCCCACUCCCAUUCUCAUCCCUUGUCCUUCUGGACACGUGCUCUAGUAUCUUUAAUUAUACCUGUAGCCUUGCAAAAUAUGCAGUGAUAAUCAAUCAAUCAAAUAAUUUGUGAAAAAUUUAAAAAGUGAGGUUCAGGUCAUCCCUGGACAGCUCCAGUCCUGUGGCUCAACAAAGCUAUUUGAAGCCUCUGGUUCUUCUGAGAUCUUUGUUCCACUAACCACAGUAUUAACUUCUUUGUAAGACCAAUAUCAGGAUAAUUUUAAGACCAGUACUCCUCACUGGCUAUAAGACAGCAGCUGAUGGUAAUCAGUUCUGCAUGAUUCCAUGUUCACGUCCAGGCAAAGAGAGAGACUGGUUUCAAGAGGUUUUUUCUUAAGAGCAAGGAAUGAAUUUUCUAAGAGAUCCUGAGAAUUCUGCUCAAGUCUCCUUGGUCUACAUUGACUUGGAUCUGUCCACACCUGAAUCAGAGUUGCAAAUACUUCCUGUGGUCUAGCCAUUACCCAUCAAGGUUUCUGAUCUUUAAAAUGGGGAAGUCAGGGUCUGCCUUCUGCACCGAUGACUGUGAGGUCCAAGCAAAAUCAACAUGAAAGCACAUGGAAGACUACACUCCAGAGCUUAUACUUCCAAGCUCUGAAGGCUUGAGCAGUCCCCUCACCCACACACCUAUUUUCAGGAACUCAGCCACUCCGUUGCUCUUUUUUAUUAUGGUAAAAUACACCUAACAUAAUUUUUGCCAUCUUAACCAUUUUCAAGUGUAUGUUCAGUGACAUUAAAUAGAUUCAUAUUGUUGUGCAACCAUCCCCACCAUCCAUCUCCAGAAUUCUUUUCAUCUUGCAAAACUGAAACUCUCUACCCAUUAAACAAUAACUCCUCAUU